rnacentral:rRNA from 1 species
GUAGGGGGCAAGCGUUAUCCGGAUUUACUGGGUGUAAAGGGAGCGUAGACGGCAUCACAAGUCAGAAGUGAAAAUCCGGGGCUCAACCCCGGAACUGCUUUUGAAACUGUGGAGCUGGAGUGCAGGAGAGGUAAGCGGAAUUCCUAGUGUAGCGGUUAAAUGCGUAGAUAUUAGAAGGAACACCAGUGGCGAAGGCGGUUUACUGGGCCAUAACUGACGCUGAGGCACGAAAGCGUGGGGAGCAAAUAGGAUUAGAUACCCUAGUAGUCCACGCCGUAAACGAUGAGUACUAAGUGUUGGGGCAACCCAGUGCUGAAGUUAACACAUUAAGUACUCCGCCUGAGUAGU